rnacentral:rRNA from 1 species
GAAUUGGGCCUGCGGUCGAGAUUCCUACGGGAGGCAGCAGUGGGGAAUAUUGGACAAUGGGGGAAACCCUGAUCCAGCCAUGCCGCGUGUGUGAAGAAGGCCUUUUGGUUGUAAAGCACUUUAAGCAGUGAAGAAGACUCCGUGGUUAAUACCCACGGACGAUGACAUUAGCUGCAGAAUAAGCACCGGCUAACUCUGUGCCAGCAGCCGCGGUAAUACAGAGGGUGCAAGCGUUAAUCGGAAUUACUGGGCGUAAAGCGAGCGUAGGUGGCUUGAUAAGUCAGAUGUGAAAUCCCCGGGCUUAACCUGGGAACUGCAUCUGAAACUGUUAGGCUAGAGUAGGUGAGAGGGAAGUAGAAUUUCAGGUGUAGCGGUGAAAUGCGUAGAGAUCUGAAGGAAUACCGAUGGCGAAGGCAGCUUCCUGGCAUCAUACUGACACUGAGGCUCGAAAGCGUGGGUAGCAAACAGGAUUAGAUACCCUGGUAGUCCACGCCGUAAACGAUGUCUACUAGUCGUUGGGUCCCUUGAGGACUUAGUGACGCAGCUAACGCAAUAAGUAGACCGCCUGGGGAGUACGGCCGCAAGGUUAAAACUCAAAUGAAUUGACGG